rnacentral:rRNA from 1 species
GACGAACCGUGCGAACGUUGUUCGGAAUCACUGGGCAUAAAGGGCGCGUAGGCGGCUUUUCAAGUCAGGGGUGAAAUCCGGCAGCUCAACUGUCGAAGUGCCCUUGAUACUGACGAGCUCGAGGGAGGUAGGGGUGUGUGGAACUUCCGGUGGAGCGGUGAAAUGCGUUGAUAUCGGAAGGAACGCCGGUGCGAAAGCGACGCACUGGACCUCUUCUGACGCUGGAGGAGCGGAAAGCAUGGGGAGCAAACAGG